AUCUUGGUGCAAAGGGAAUAUGGGCUGGAAUGAUAGGAGGAACUAUGAUGCAAACCUUCAUUUUAUCAUGGGUAACCUUUCGCACUGAUUGGAAUAAAGAGGUAAAUAUCAAAAUUACAAUGAGUUGUGAUUUAAAAAUAUUGUAUUUAAUUUUUUUAGUAAAUUGUUUUUAUUUAUUUAAUUAAAAUUGCAUGAAAUUCAAAUACUCCAAAUUUUACAGUUCUGAAAAUCAUUUAAUAUUAUUGACUUAAAGGUUAUUAUUGAUAGAAUAUAAAUGAUAGGCUUCCAUCAUGCAUGCAUUUAUGAUUUAUAGCAAGCAAAAGUGAAGCAUUAAUUUAUGGAGAAAGCUAUAAUGCAUUAUACCAUUUCUUUUGAAAUGACCAUACAAUACAUGACAUCCAACAGAUUUUCUUUAGUUGGCUAGCUGAUAUGCAUUGAAAAUUAUUAGUUAAACAAUACCUUCCUAUAUAUAAUUAAGUCUUCCUCUUGAUCGAAAGUUUAUACAGUGGAAUUAAUCCAUGAAAAAUGUCUCUCUGUUUCAGGUAGAGAAGGCUAGAAUGCGUUUGGAUAAAUGGGAAGACAAGAAGGAACCACUCCUUAAGAACUGAAAAUAAUGCUCAAGUGUAUUUAUCACAUAUGCAUGCAAUGGAAACGGAGCAAAUAAAUCUGCUGAAGAAAAAUUAACCACUUGAGCAUGGGGUCAGGAAAUUAAGCCAUGAAACCAAUUGGUGUUGCACUCAAAAUUAAAUAUAUAAUACUAUUUUUUUUU
rnacentral:misc_RNA from 1 species